rnacentral:rRNA from 1 species
UACGUAGGGCGCAAGCGUUGUCCGGAAUUAUUGGGCGUAAAGAGCUCGUAGGCGGUCUGUCGCGUCCGUUGUGAAAACUCGAGGCUCAACCUCGGGCUUGCAGUGGAUACGGGCAGACUAGAGUGCGGUAGGGGAGACUGGAAUUCCUGGUGUAGCGGUGAAAUGCGCAGAGUAUCAGGAGGAACACCGGUGGCGAAGGCGGGUCUCUGGGCCGAUGACUGACGCUGACGGAGCGAAGCGUGGGGAGCGAACAGG